rnacentral:lncRNA from 1 species
UGGAUGAAGAUCCUGAGCAUAUGAAUGAGCAUUGGAUGCCUGUGUACCACCUGUGCCAACCAUGUGCUGUGCACUAUGACUUCGUGGGUUCCUAUGAGAGGCUGGAAGCUGAUGCCAACCAGGUGCUGGAGUGGGUGCGGGCCCCAUCCCAUGUCCGGUUCCCAGCUCGCCAGGCCUGGUACCGUCCAGCCAGCCCAGAAAGUCUACAUUACCACCUGUGCAAUGCCCCGCGGGCCCUGCUUCAAGAUGUGCUACCUAAACUUUAAACUUCCUCCUCUUCCUCGGUCUGAAUCAUUUUUCUAAGGAAAGAAGAACGGAAGUAGGGCCCUUACCUCACAGCUCUAAGGCCCAGCCCCUCGAGUAUCCAAAGACCCCUGUGCCUGACCUCUUCCUAGGGCUCGUGGAGCAUCUUCAAUAAGCCCCCUUCCCUACAAACCUUUGAGACUAUGUGAGACGGUGUGUGGCCCAUGUCAUUUGUCUAAUGCAUUUAUUUAAAAUGUGUAUAUUUUGAUAGAAUCCUUGUCAGGGCUGACUUUUAAUAAAGCCUUUUUUGUAUAUAA